GCUAAAACUCACAUGAGUUUACACUUACAGUCUUCUUACAAGAUACCUAGAUGAUGCUGCAUGUGUGAAAUAAGUUCCUUGGAUCCAGGGGUAAGAUCUUAGAUCUAGCCCUGGUGAGUUUCAUCUUGUUAGAUUUGUGCUUUCGUCUUGAAAAGACCAAAAAUCUUGUUUGGUGGUGGCUGCUUGGAGCUUUGUGCUCAGAAGGAAUAUGAUGUCCUGCAGGAGUUAAUUCCUUUAUGAAACUCAUUCUUUUGACCCACCUAAUUUUUUCACACUCUUGUUAUUUGCUUCUUUUUUACGCAUCCUACAACUGGGAGGUUUACGUUUGUCUUGCAUUCAGAAUUUAGAGGGAUUCAUUCAAAAACUUGCAUGAUUCUGCCUUCAAAUAUUGAAGGUCCAGAUAAAGACAGCAGGGAAGUCCAGAUUUCUGUUAGCUUUACUUUGCCAGAUUAGAGUUUCUUCUGUGCGUAGGGAGUCAGGAUGGAGCUGCAGCUGGAGCAGGCUGUGGUAUGUCACCUCAGUGGCAAAGAGUUUCUUCCCUUGUUUGUUGUGGCAACAAGAAUUGAGCUGGGAUAGUGCCCACGGUUGCUAACAGGCAGGACUUUUCAGGGAUUCUAAAACAUCCCUUGGCCUUCAAGAGAAUUCAACAUCACCAGUGCUAUUGAAGAGCUCUCUGCACUGAUGGAGAAACAUAUGGAUUCUAUUCUCACUCUAAAAAUCCAAACAAUAAGGGAAAGCUGACCGCUCCCAUCAUUCUCUGCCAUCUCUUCCCAAGCCAAUCGCUUAUCUGAAGACCAUUCCCCUCGAGCUCCACCACUCUCUACUAAUGACUCUCAAAUGCUUGUCUCCAGUUCAAUUACGAAGAUAAUCAUAUUGUUUUGAUCUUCCUUCUCCUCUCUGAUUUAUGAUUCUGUGACUUCUACAAAAUCAAAUAGUACUUGAAGUUGGUUCACUGUUAUCAAAGCCUUCAUUCUUUCUAAGAAGAUGACCUGGCUUCACCUCCUGGCUGCUUCCUCAGCUCUCACAAUUUACUCAGGUCCACAGGAAUAAGAUACACUGAGUCUCACACUUUCCAGCCUGUCACAGAAGCCAAGAGUGUGUUAAUGUCAGUGCUAAGGUGAGACUGUAGGUAUGAAGAGAGCCUGGGAGAGCUAAUUCCCAAACAGAAGUAUGGAAUAGAAGAAAGUCCAU
rnacentral:lncRNA from 1 species